UCCACCCAUGCCUCAUACAGACCCCUGCUGAGAAGCCUGAUCAUUGUCCAGUUUACAAACAUCCCAACCUAGCACUCCAAGUGUGUUUGCUUUGAUUACUCCAUUAAACAGGAAUCACAUAACUUCAGAGGAAGUGAUUAUAUACUUAUUUUAGUCCUAAACCUGUUAUGGGGAGUAUGAAACUCUAAUCAACAUCUCUGAACAUCCUUCAUCUCCAAACAUCCUUCUUGCUUUCUGUAUGUGUACCUGUCAUUGCUUUGCACUGUCAAAGGGUAUUUUGCUACACUGCAGUAGGGAGAAGUUAUGUGACACUUUGCCUGUCAACCUGCUGUGCAGAGCAGAGCCAUGCCUCCUCAUCCCCAGUGUCAGCAUCCCACUGUUCACUUCAACCCUUUGUCUCAUUUUAACUGUAUUACGGUAACAAUAUUGCUUAUUUCCCAGAGAAAGAGAGUAAACUAGUUCAGGUGUGCCCUAUGCUCUAAGAAUGCAGAGUACAGGAUGAGCCCUAUAUUAUUUCAGGGGGCUUCCUUUGGCAUUUCAUGCUUUUUGAAGUUUAGUUAUUCUGCAUAAUACCUGAAGAGGACAACAUUUAUCAUCAAUGGCAUUUUAAAAAGAAUUAUCUUUUUAUAACUUUUAUAUCGCAGAAGUGUCCGCAUCUCUUUAAUAGUCUUUAAUAAUCUGAAGAACAGAAUUUCUUCUGGAGAAGAGGAGGUUCAGGGGAGAUCUUAUCACUCUCUACUUCUUGAAAGGAGGUUAUAAUGAGGUGGGAAUUGACCUCUUCUCCUGAGUAACAGCAAUAGGACAAGAGGUAAUGGUCUCAGGUUGCACCAGUGGAGGCUCAGUUUGGAUAUUAGGAAAAAUUCUUCUCAGAAAGUGCUGAGGUAUUGGAACAGGCUGCCCAGGGAGGUGUUCAAGAAACAUGGAGAUGUGGCACUGAGGGAUAUGGUUAGUGGGCAUGGUGGGGAUGGGUUGAAGGUUGGACUGGAUGAUCUUAGUGCUCUUUUCCAGUCUUUACGACUCUAUGAUCUUAAAAUACUAUGAUCUUAAUAUAUGAUCUUAAAAUACUAAUAUGUGAAGUGCUGCAAUUUUGUUUAUAUCUCUUAAAAGUAGGCCCAUUUUUCAUAUGAAACAUAUAUCAUGCUAAUAUUGACAUUUUUCAUUAGUGAAAUGUAAUAAACUAAUGUCGUUUCAACAGAGAGUUCUAAUUAGUUGCCAGUAACACAGUAUAGUCCUUUGUAAUUAAGAAUUCCGUGUGUGAGGAGAACUGCCUUGUUCUCAUUACAGGGCCUAAAGCCACAGAGCAUCGCAUUUCUUGUUAUUCUACCAGAGGAAUGUAUGAGCACAGUAAUGACUGCAUUAGGGAAUGGCACAUAACAACAGAAUCAAUAACAGAUAUAAAAUGUGAUGACACUAAACUGCAAAGAAAAAUUUGUCCAUAGAAAAGCCUCCCUCCUGCUUUUAUUAUUACCCCCCCAGUGCAGCUCUCUGGCAACAACACAGCUUUUGAGCACCCGGAC
ensembl:lncRNA